CAUCAAUCGAAGGUGUCAUCGCUACGCGGCGCACCACUCACCAAUUGAAGACAUGACUUCUUAUUGCAUUGCCUUCCUUCGCCGAAGCUAUAUCUACUUCUUUCUCUUCUGACACCGUACAUAGGAAUCUGUAAAAAAAUAUGAGAUUCUAAAGUUGCCAACGUCACAGGUCUUUCAAUCUCUGGCAACAUUGUAAUCACAACCAUAAAGCUGAAUGACAAAAAUUUUGCUAACUGAAGCGUAGCUGUCAAGAUCAAGUUUUUAGAUCAAGGGCAGGAAGAUCAUCUCUUCAAAUUCAUUUUUGAUAUUCAACAUCUGAUCAAACCAUCUGAAAGCAGAUUGACGCACAACUACUUAGUCUUUUGUGGCAAGCCAUUGAUCCAUCCUUGAUAGCUAUGUUUUGUCCUUAUUGGAUAUAUAAAGAGGUGUGGACUCGUGCUCACAAGCUCUAUACUAGUGAUGCCAUCGGGAUAUAUGAUGUCUUAUCCCGUCUGUUUCAACUGAGAUAAACUGACACAGGUAUGCAGACACACUUAGGCCAAUUACAAGUACUUUUCAUUGAAUUUAAUGAAUCAAUGCCUUUUACUAUAGAUUUGAAAGUACAAUAGGCUCAACGAGAAGAGAUAUUUUCAGUUAUUUGUCUGUAAAGUAUUCGAUCCAAGUAUGAAUCAGUCAAAAUCUAGAUCUUAGGUGGUGAAUCUGUUUCUUCACUGAUAGAUUUCUUUUCACGAUUACUUCAAGUAGCCUCUACUCUAGCUGUCCCAGAACAUGUGCCUACUGAAGAUACAUCUAUUCUUUUCACACAGUCUAGUUUACCUGGAGCAUCCUUUGGCAUUCGUGGGGGAAGUCGAGAUGGUAGAGGUGGUCAAGAAAAUAUUUUCAAAUGUAGUUACUGCAACAAGCGAGGACAUAGUCGUGAUACCUGUUACUCCUUGCAUGAAUUUUUUCUAAAGGUCGCUAAUACAAUAUAAAUAGAGGUUUCUAAUGUUGAUAGUCUACUGUCCAUUGGACAGUCUACUGUCAUCAUAUCUGUAGAAGAAUAUGUUCGUUUCUUAUAAAGGCAGAUAGCUCAAUAGGCGACGAACCUAUUGUCUCACUUGCUCAGUCAGAUCACUCUACUACAUGCCUCAAUCAUCUUUUGGUCUCUGGAUUCUUGACUUAGGUGCUUUUGACCAUAUGUCUGAUAAUCUUAAUCUGUUCUCUUAUUUAACUGGGCCUAAUGCUCUACUAUCUAUCACAUUAGCCAAUGGGUGUGUUACUCCUGUACGGGGUAUUGGAACAGUAGCACCUCCUGCUUCCCUAUCUCUUAUCUUCUGUUUUGUUUCUUUCUUGAUUUUCUUUUAACUUAAUUUUCAUUAGUCAACUCACAAAAAAACUUAAUUGUAUCGUAAUCUUUUCUUCUGAUAAUAUUAUGAUUCAGGAUUUGAGGAC
rnacentral:lncRNA from 1 species